rnacentral:lncRNA from 1 species
AUAUGUAUUCAUUUCCUACCACUGUAGUGGAAGAGAGACUAUCCCUGUCUUUACACCCGGUAGCAUUUCCAACAGUAAGCUGUGAGAUUCUGCUUGAAAUCACCUCUCAAACAAAUAAAAAACAGACCUGGGAAAUGUGCUACACUCAUUCUGCUGAAGAAAUUGACAUCAUAGCUGGGGAAACAGGGAUUCAAAAGAUCCAGGCUGUUCCCUACAUAUUUUUCCUCCUCAGACAUCAGUUCAUCAGUCAAUCAAGUCAGGUGAGAGUGGAGGCCAUGUAUUCCUUAUUCUUGGGCACUGUCCUCCAAGGAGGAAGAGGCCAGGAGGUCCUGUUAGAGGAUGCACUCUGAGAGGCCGGGCUCCCUAAGGUGUGAGGGUUCUAACCAGCAGGUGUAGACUUUUCAGGAGUGAGGAAUGAGGCAGGCAUUCCAAACCUGGAGCUUCAUCACCUUUUGUUUCAUCUCAAGACAAUUCUGAGGGGCUGUUUUGGAACGUGUCUGGAAGGUGAACAUUGAAGAAGAGUGGGCUUUGAUGUGACUCAGAUAAGAUCUUUCAUGGGGAGGCAGGAAUUUAAUGCCCAGAAUCUGGGCUGGUGUCUUUGAGGUCAGUGGGUUGCCUUUUUGUAUCCAAGUCCAUUGUUACUAGGUUGGAGGCUGGAGAUUCUAAAUGGCUUCCAGACCGCCUCUCUGAUUCUCUUUUGGAGAUGGGGUCUGAAAAAGA